rnacentral:rRNA from 1 species
UGAGGAAUAUUGGUCAAUGGACGGAAGUCUGAACCAGCCAAGUAGCGUGCAGGAUGACGGCCCUAUGGGUUGUAAACUGCUUUUAUACGGGGAUAAAGUUAGGGACGUGUCCCUAUUUGCAGGUACCGUAUGAAUAAGGACCGGCUAAUUCCGUGCCAGCAGCCGCGGUAAUACGGAAGGUCCGGGCGUUAUCCGGAUUUAUUGGGUUUAAAGGGAGCGUAGGCCGUAGAUUAAGUGUGUUGUGAAAUGUAGACGCUCAACGUCUGACUUGCAGCGCAUACUGGUUUACUUGAGUUUGCACAACGUUGGCGGAAUUCGUCGUGUAGCGGUGAAAUGCUUAGAUAUCAUGACGAACUCCGAUUGCGAAGGCAGCUUACGGGAGCGCAACUGACGCUAAAGCUCGAAGGUGCGGGUAUCGAACAGG